GCCAGGUGUGGUGGUGCGUGCCUGUAAUCCCAGCUACUCAGGAGGCUGAGACAGAAGAAUUGCUUGAACCCAGGAGGCAGAGGUUGCAGUGAGCUGAGUUCACGCCACAGCACUCCAGCCUGGGUGACAGAGCAAGACUCCGUCUCUC
rnacentral:SRP_RNA from 1 species